AGAGUUUGAUCAUGGCUCAGAAUCAACGCUGGCGGCGUGCCUAACACAUGCAAGUCGAACGCGGAGGAAGACUUCGGUUUUCUGGAGAGUGGCGCACGGGUGAGUAACACGUGGGUAAUCUGCCUUUGGGUGGGGAAUAACGAUCCGAAAGGGUCGCUAAUACCGCAUAACGCAGCGGCACCGCAUGGUGACAGUUGUUAAAGGGGGGGAUCGAAAGACCUCUCGCCUGAAGAGGAGCCCGCGUCCGAUUAGCUAGUUGGUGAGGUAACGGCUCACCAAGGCUCCGAUCGGUAGCCGGCCUGAGAGGGCGGUCGGCCACACUGGCACUGAGACACGGGCCAGACUCCUACGGGAGGCAGCAGUGGGGAAUUUUGGGCAAUGGGCGAAAGCCUGACCCAGCAACGCCGCGUGAAGGAUGAAAUCCCUCUGGGAUGUAAACUUCGAAAGUCGGGAAAGAAAUCGCCAUGGUUAAUAACCGUGGUGGAUGACGGUACCCGACGUAAGCCCCGGCUAACUACGUGCCAGCAGCCGCGGUAAUACGUAGGGGGCAAGCGUUGUUCGGAAUUACUGGGCGUAAAGGGCGCGUAGGCGGCAUGGCAAGUCGGGAGUGAAAGCCCGGGGCUCAACCCCGGAACUGCUUUCGAAACUGCCAAGCUAGAGUACGGAAGGGGCAACUGGAAUUCCCAGUGUAGCGGUGAAAUGCGUAGAUAUUGGGAAGAACACCGGAGGCGAANGCGGGUUGCCGGGCCGAUACUGACGCUGAGGCGCGAAAGCCAGGGGAGCAAACGGGAUUAGAUACCCCGGUAGU
rnacentral:rRNA from 1 species